AACGAACGCUGGCGGCAGGCUUAACACAUGCAAGUCGAGCGCCCCGCAAGGGGCGCGGCAGACGGGUGAGUAACGCGUGGGAACGUACCCUUUGCUACGGAAUAGCUCCGGGAAACUGGAAUUAAUACCGGAUGUGCCCUACGGGGGAAAGAUUUAUCGGCAAAGGAUCGGCCAGCGUUGGAUUAGCUAGUUGGUGGGGUAAUGGCCUACCAAGGCGACGAUCCAUAGCUGGUCUGAGAGGAUGAUCAGCCACAUUGGGACUGAGACACGGCCCAAACUCCUACGGGAGGCAGCAGUGGGGAAUCUCGCGCAAUGGGCGAAAGCCUGACGCAGCCAUGCCGCGUGAAUGAUGAAGGUCUUAGGAUUGUAAAAUUCUUUUACCAGGGACGAUAAUGACGGUACCUGGAGAAAAAGCCCCGGCUAACUUCGUGCCAGCAGCCGCCGUAAGAC
rnacentral:rRNA from 1 species